rnacentral:rRNA from 1 species
UGUGGCCAAGUUUUUAAGGGCGCACGGUGGAUGCCUUGGCACCAGGAACCGAUGAAGGACGUGGGAGGCCACGAUAGUCCCCGGGGAGCUGUCAACCAAGCUUUGAUCCGGGGGUUUCCGAAUGGGGAAACCCGGCAGUCGUCAUGGGCUGUCACCCGCUGCUGAACACAUAGGCAGUGUGGAGGGAACGAGGGGAAGUGAAACAUCUCAGUACCCUCAGGAAGAGAAAACAACCGUGAUUCCGGGAGUAGUGGCGAGCGAAACUGGAUGAGGCCAAACCGUAUGCGUGUGAUACCCGGCAGGGGUUGCGCAUGCGGGGUUGUGGGAUCUCUCUUUCACAGUCUGCCGGCUGUGAGGCGAGUCAGAAACCGUUGAUGUAGGCGAAGGACAUGCGAAAGGUCCGGCGUAGAGGGUAAGACCCCCGUAGCUGAAACAUUAACGGCUCGUUUGAGAGACACCCAAGUAGCACGGGGCCCGAGAAAUCCCGUGUGAAUCUGGCGGGACCACCCGCUAAGCCUAAAUAUUCCCUGGUGACCGAUAGCGGAUAGUACCGUGAGGGAAUGGUGAAAAGUACCGCGGGAGCGGAGUGAAAUAGUACCUGAAACCGUGUGCCUACAAGCCGUGGGAGCGUCGCUGGCAGCACUUGUGCUGUCAGUCGUGACUGCGUGCCUUUUGAAGAAUGAGCCUGCGAGUUAGCGGUGUGUAGCGAGGUUAACCCGUGUGGGGAAGCCGUAGCGAAAGCGAGUCCGAACAGGGCGUUUGAGUUGCACGCUCUAGACCCGAAGCGGAGUGAUCUAGCCAUGGGCAGGUUGAAGCGGAGGUAAGACUUCGUGGAGGACCGAACCCACCAGGGUUGAAAACCUGGGGGAUGACCUGUGGUUAGGGGUGAAAGGCCAAUCAAACUCCGUGAUAGCUGGUUCUCCCCGAAAUGCAUUUAGGUGCAGCGUCGUGUGUUUCUUGCCGGAGGUAGAGCACUGGAUAGGCGAUGGGCCCUACCGGGUUACUGACCUUAGCCAAACUCCGAAUGCCGGUAAGUGAGAGCGCGGCAGUGAGACUGUGGGGGAUAAGCUCCAUGGUCGAGAGGGAAACAGCCCAGAGCAUCGACUAAGGCCCCUAAGCGUACGCUAAGUGGGAAAGGAUGUGGAGUCGCAGAGACAACCAGGAGGUUGGCUUAGAAGCAGCCACCCUUGAAAGAGUGCGUAAUAGCUCACUGGUCAAGUGAUUCCGCGCCGACAAUGUAGCGGGGCUCAAGCGUACCGCCGAAGUCGUGUCAUUCAUA